GGGGAUUUAGCUCAACGGCAUGAGCACCUGCCUGGCAAGCUUGAGGUCAUGAGUUCAAUCCCCA
rnacentral:tRNA from 1 species